CCUGAACGCUGGCGGCGUGGCUAAGACAUGCAAGUCGCACGGUGUAGCAAUACACAGUGGCGAACGGGUGAGUAAUGAAUCGCUAAUGUACCCCGGACUCUGGGAUAGCUAGCCGAAAGGUUAGGUAAUACCAGAUGAUAUACUUCUAUCGCAUGAUAGAAGUCUCAAAGGUCCGCCGGUCUGGGAGCAGGCGAUUUCGUAUCAGCUAGUU
rnacentral:rRNA from 1 species